rnacentral:rRNA from 1 species
AUUGAACGCUGGCGGCAUGCUUUACACAUGCAAGUCGAACGGUAACAGGCCGCAAGGUGCUGACGAGUGGCGCACGGGUGAGUAAUGCAUCGGAACGUGCCCAGUCGUGGGGGGUAACUACUCGAAAGAGUAGCUAAUACCGCAUACGAUCUAUGGAUGAAAGAGGGGGACCGGAAGGCCUCGCGCGAGUGGAGCGGGCGAUGGCAGAUUAGGUAGUUGGUGGGGUAAAGGCUCGCCAAGCCAACGAUCUGUAGCAGGUCUGAGAGGACGACCAGCCACACUGGGACUGAGCCACGGCCCCGACUCCUACGGGAGGCAGCAGUGGGGAAUUUUGGACAAUGGGCGCAAGCCUUAUCCAGCAAUGCCGCGUGCAGGACGAAGGCCUUCGGGUUGUAAACUGCUUUUGUACGGAACGAAACGGCUCUGGUUAAUACCCGGGGCUAAUGACGGUACCGGAAGAAUAAGCACCGGCUAACUACGUG